rnacentral:rRNA from 1 species
CCUACGGGUGGCAGCAGUGGGGAAUAUUGCGCAAUGGGCGAAAGCCUGACGCAGCGACGCCGCGUGAGGGAUGAAGGUCUUCGGAUCGUAAACCUCUGUCAGCAGGGAAGAACGGUCACUGUGCUAAUCAGCAGUGAAUUGACGGUACCUGCAAAGGAAGCACCGGCUAACUCCGUGCCAGCAGCCGCGGUAAUACGGAGGAUGCGAGCGUUAUCCGGAUUUAUUGGGUUUAAAGGGUGCGUAGGCGGAGUGUCAAGUCAGCGGUAAAAUUUCGGGGCUCAACCCCGUCGUGCCGUUGAAACUGACGCCCGUGAGUGAGUGAGAAGUAAGCGGAAUGCGUGGUGUAGCGGUGAAAUGCAUAGAUAUCACGCAGAACGCCGAUUGCGAAGGCAGCUUACCGGCGCUCAACUGACGCUGAGGCACGAAAGUGCGGGUAUCGAACAGGAUUAGAUACCCCUGUAGUC